rnacentral:rRNA from 1 species
UACGGAGGGUGCAAGCGUUAAUCGGAAUUACUGGGCGUAAAGCGCACGUAGGUGGUUUGGUAAGUCGGAUGUGAAAUCCCCGGGCUCAACCUGGGAAUGGCAUUCGAGACUGUCAAGCUAGAGUCUGGUAGAGGGUGGUGGAAUUCCAGGUGUAGCGGUGAAAUGCGUAGAUAUCUGGAGGAACAUCAGUGGCGAAGGCGGCCACCUGGACUAAGACUGACACUGAGGUGCGAAAGCGUGGGUAGCAAACAGGAUUAGAUACCCUGGUAGUCCACGCCGUAAACGAUGAGAACUAGAUGUUGGGAGGGUUAAACCUUCUAGUGUCGCAGCUAACGCGAUAAGUUCUCCGCCUGGGGAGUACGGCCGCAAGGUUAAA